AGAGUUUGAUCAUGGCUCAGGACGAACGCUGACGGUGUGCUUUAGGCAUGCAAGUCGAACGAGAAAGCCCUUCGGGGUGAGUAGAGUGGCGAACGGGUGAGUAACACGUGGGCAACCUGCCCCUCGCAGGGGGAUAACCGGAGGAAACUCCGGCUAAUACCCCGUAAGCUUUCAGGGUCGCAUGGCUCUGUAAGGAAAGGUAGCUUCGGCCAUCCGGCGAGGGAUGGGCCCGCGGUGCAUUAGCUAGUUGGUGGGGUAAUGGCCCACCAAGGCAACGAUGCGUAGCUGGUCUGAGAGGAUGAUCAGCCACACUGGGACUGAGACACGGCCCAGACUCCUACGGGAGGCAGCAGCCAGGAAUCUUGGGCAAUGGGCGAAAGCCUGACCCAGCAACACCGUGUGGGCGAUGAAGGCCUUCGGGUCGUAAAGCCCUGUUGAUAGGGACGAAGGGCGAAGGGUUAAUAGCCCCUAGCCUGACGGUACCUUUCGAGGAAGCCCCGGCUAACUACGUGCCAGCAGCGGCGGUAAUUC
rnacentral:rRNA from 1 species